GCUGGGCAUGGUGGCGCAUGCCUGUAAUCCCAGCUACUCAGGAGGCUGAGGCAGGAGAAUCACUUGAACCUGGGAGGCGGAGGUUGCAGUGAGCCGAGAUCAUGCCACUGCACUCCAGCCUGGGUGACAGAGUAAGACUCUGUCUCAA
ensembl:misc_RNA Metazoa_SRP Metazoan signal recognition particle RNA